CAUUUAGUGACCAACUGCCUUUGUGAGGUGUGCAGACCUCCUGGUCAUAAACACUUUUAAGUUGCUCUUUAUGGAGGUUAUUUCAGUGCUUAACAAUACCAUAUGCAGAUGGCAGGGAGUAUAGAAGGACCGUUGAAUACCUUAUCACUCCACUGUUGAAUAGCUUUUUUGAUAAAAGGUGUAAUCUGGUCUCAUUGCAAAUUUUCCAGAAAACCAAACACAUGACACAUUAGUUUCAGGGGCCUCAAGAGUGUAACUGCAGUUGACUAAUUGGACUGACUAAAACAAUAGCAUUGUAACCUGAAUAAGUGAUGAGGCACCAACAAUAAAUAGCUCUGGGGGGAGGGGGUCAAUGGUCAGUCACCAGGAGAGACCAAACUGACUUUGGGUAGGAGUCACAAGUCUGCAAUGCAACAGCAAUGUCUACAGUAACAGAGCCCUUCACUUUCUGUUUUUUUUCUGUGAUGGUGGAAGUGUUGUCUUGUGGGAUGUGAUGAUAGAUCCAGGCAACAAGACUUUAGCAACUAAAGUGCUGAGCAACUUAAGUGCAGCCUCAAGUAGCAGCUUGAUUCCAGUCAGUCUCAUCAGAGAAUGGGUCUUUCCUUUGGGCAUCUACAUGAGGGCCCAGAAAGUUUAGUCAGCAACUAUAAUUUGUUUCCACAGUUCACACCUCGAGACAAUUUUCUUUAAUCAGCUAGUCUGUAAUUUUUUUUAAAGCAGCAGAUCAAAUAGUGAGGUCACUAGCAAAAGCCCAAGAGUCAGUAAACACAGAGCAAGGUUCAUCAAGGCAGGUAUUAACUAAAUAUCUGAGAAGGGCCUUAAGUUCUUUCCUGAGUGGAGGUGCUGUCUGUUUUCAGUAUUGCAAAGCUGGUACUGAGGUUGAACAGCUGCUGCAGUCCAGUGAAACCAAGUUUUAGCUUAGCCCAACCAGGCUCAGGAUUUAGGGGAAUCUGUGAAUUGAGGGCCCCAAUGGGCUAGUGAAAUGGCUGAGUGAGAGGCAAAAGUUUCCCCAGAGAGACAGCUGCCACUUUUUCAUGUAAACCCCAGAUGCCUAUUUUCAUUUGACAAGCAAGGUUUUGUGAGCCCUUACAUGUCAGUCACAGAGUCUGAGUUGAGCCACCAAAAAAUGGGAAUAUCAGGCCAGAGAUUCACAAGACCUACAUAGAUAAAUUAUCAUUUGAUUUUUAUAAAAGUUCGGUAGCAAGCUGAUCACUGCUUUUCAAAAGUGGUACUGUUCCCAACAAGA